rnacentral:rRNA from 1 species
AUGCACGUUGGCGGCGUGCCUAAUACAUGCAAGUCGAGCGAACGGACGAGAAGCUUGCUUCUCUGAUGUUAGCGGCGGACGGGUGAGUAACACGUGGAUAACCUACCUAUAAGACUGGGAUAACUUCGGGAAACCGGAGCUAAUACCGGAUAAUAUUUUGAACCGCAUGGUUCAAAAGUGAAAGACGGUCUUGCUGUCACUUAUAGAUGGAUCCGCGCUGCAUUAGCUAGUUGGUAAGGUAACGGCUUACCAAGGCAACGAUGCAUAGCCGACCUGAGAGGGUGAUCGGCCACACUGGAACUGAGACACGGUCCAGACUCCUACGGGAGGCAGCAGUAGGGAAUCUUCCGCAAUGGGCGAAAGCCUGACGGAGCAACGCCGCGUGAGUGAUGAAGGUCUUCGGAUCGUAAAACUCUGUUAUUAGGGAAGAACAUAUGUGUAAGUAACUGUGCACAUCUUGACGGUACCUAAUCAGAAAGCCACGGCUAACUACGUG